GCCUGGCAUAGUGGCACAUGCCUGUAAUCCCAGCAACUCGGGAGGCUGAGUCAGGAGGAUCUUGAGUUCAAAGCCAGACUUCACAAAAGUGAGGCACUUAGCAACUCACUGAGACCCUGUCUCUA
rnacentral:sRNA from 1 species